CAUAACGUUUAUACGGAAUUGGUUUUUGCUCAUAUUGUGAAAAAUCUGUCUCUAAAUACAUAACCUUUCAUUUUUGUCUCGUUUUUGUCUGGUGACCGAUUUUUCUUAAGCCGACGCCGAAAAUUACAAUGUGACAGUCGGAAUUGAUGCGGUGGCAGCCGAAAAUUGACACCUAGGCAUUUUAUUGACAUGUGAAAAAAAAAAUAUAAAAAAAAUCCACAUCAUAAUCUUCCCCACUUCCAAACCCUAAUCUCCCAUUUCCUACCCACCGUCGCCACCCUCUACCGCCAGCGACGGCGCCUGCCACCCGCUCCCCCUAGACCCAUCGCCCCUCCCCCUGCCGCCACCAGAGCACCGCCUGAAAUUCCCAACUCCCUCUCUCUCUUUGGUCUCACACGCCUGAAAUUCCCAACUCUCUCUCUGGUCUCUCCCGCUGCCAACCACCGCUUGAAAUUCCCACCGCUAAGUCGUGCCCUAGAUCCAUUUAUGCCCAUUGGUCUCCUUCCCCACCUUGCUCAGUUUCCC
rnacentral:lncRNA from 1 species